UCAAAGCCAGAAAUUUAGUACAUCCUCUCUCCCACGUUUCCACACUCAACCCUUUCAAAAGUUUUUCUCCACUGCGCAUUUUUCACACUCCGAUCGUCUUCCUCCUCAGUUCUUCUUUUAACCUUUUCUCACACUCCGUCCGGGUCAUCAUAGAUAACGAAGAUUACUAAGCCUUAACCGUUCUUUUAACCUUUUUUCUUCUUUUUUGGACUCAAGGCUAAAUUGGUCAAAUCGAAAGGUUUGUUUGUGUGAUUUUGAUGCAGUUAACCUUAAAGAAGACUUGGAAACGAAGGACAACCACCAAUAGCCACCAUCGCCAGCCUCUACCAAAAGAGUUCCAGUUGAAACAAGGCCACGAUUUCCAUCGCAUCAACCAGUACCGAUCGAUUGUAAGUUAAUCGAGAUUCAAGGUCUGUUGUAAUGGUGUUUUGGGAAAUGAAUUUGAAGGUUCCUGUUGAUGGUGGUUCUUUAUAAUUAACAUCAAGAUCAUCAUGUCAACUUCGUAUUCGCCAUAUGUUGAUAAUUAGCAUCAUAAUUUCAUUGGGAUUUUUGCCUAUUACCUUUUUAUCUUAUGUUGUAGAUAUCGUUUUUUUUUUUUACAUAAAGAUAUAAGCAUCUAGAGUCUACGUAUAUUGAACUUGCUGGUAACUCUACUCAAUGUUUACACCUUAUAUAUAGCUUUGCAUGAAAUUAAAUUGUGACGGAAUCAAUAUUCUGGUGUUUGAUUGCAUGUUGGUUAAAGGAAUGUCUAUGAGCAAGAGACUUAUCAUUUAACCCUGAGAAGAAAGAGACAAUGCAGGUUCUUUUUAUGUUCCAUACAUAUUUUCUUUUCUAUUAUUAUUUUAAUUAACCUGAGUAUAAUUUCAAGUUCUUGGUCACAAAUAAAAAAGUUUGGUAACAAUGUAAUUAUGAAGAUCAAUUGUGAAAUUUAUGUAUAGAGAAAAAAUCAUUCUACAAAGUAAAUGCACAAGAAACUUAAGGUUUACAGCUGAAAAAUCUUUAAAAUGGUUAGAAUUGUGACAUUUUACUGCACAAGAAACUUAAGUUUUGUAAUCUAUUCAGUGGCGGAACUAGAACAUCAACUCAGAGGUAUCCCAAUUUUUUUUUAUCGUGCAAUCAUAUAAUAUUAAAAAAAACAUGCCGCCCAAUUGCCCAAAUCAAUAAUCAUUCAACUUUGGGCUAUUAUUUACUUAUUUGGGCUUAGCAAAUGUGUUAUUAUUUACUUAUUUGGGCUUACCAACAUCUUAUUAUUUUGUAAAAAAAAAAAAAUUAAGGGGUGUCCUCGUACUUGUUCAGGGGUGUCCUAUGUAUAAAAAUCGAAAAAAAUAAAAAAUUCAACACUACUAGUAAAAACUUGAGCCGUAGCCCGGGCUACGCCCCACAUAACUAAAGAUCCGCCCCUGAAUCUAUUAAUGGGUCGGUACCGGUUUUACAGGAACUUUAUGUCUAAAAGUUUCGUUUUUCCUUGUAAUAAAUAACUACCUAAGCGCAGCAAUGGGAGACAUGGAGAUAUGCAGGUGCUUGGAGUAAAAUAAGCGCAACAAUAGGGGACAUGGAACAGGACUGAAUUCUGGAGAGACAAGUGGUUGGGACAUAUACCGUUGAAAGAGGUCUUUCCCAGCUUGUAUGACAUGGAGAAACAAAUAUCGUGCCUGAUUUCGGAUAGAAUCUUCGUCGGCAAGGAUAGUGGCAAGCGGGUCAAAUGGUGUUGGAAGAUAAAAAGACUCCCGGGUAUUAUGGUGGAAGAUAUAAAUGACUUGGAAGAGCUAAUUAUGAGUUAUAACUUUACGUUAGAGGAAGACGGAUAGGGCUGGAAGCUGGAAUAUUCGGGCGUCUUUUCGGUUAAAUCUAUGAGGAAGGCAAUGUUAAUGGACGAUGGAGGAACAUAUCCAAUGAGAAAUUUUUAAGUGGAUUUGAUGGGUCCCAUCUAAAGUCACGUGCUUUAUAUGGCAUCUAGUGCAGAACAGAAUCUCGGUGGCAUGCAACCUAGGGGGUAGAGUUACCCUGCCAUCUACAGUAUGCAGCCUAUGUUCAGCUGAGGAGGAAUCUAAAAGCCAUUUAAUGCUCGAGUGCAAUGCCUCUACGGAUAUAUGGAAUAAAGUUGCUUCAUGGAUCGGAAUGGAUUAAAAGAAGAGCAAAAUCGAAAAAUAUAGACAGGGAGCUUUGGAUUACAGAUGGUAAGGAGCACUUAGGAGGCUUUAGGACCUUAGGUGUUGAAAGUGGGGUCUGGAAUCUGGAUUUUAUUUGGAUUGGUGUACUUAUUUUCAACCUUUUAAUAUGACAUUUCAUUGCAAUACUUAUAGAUGUAAGCCUUUUGUUUGAUAUAUAGACAUGGAAACCUUUUUUCCCCUUCUAAA